rnacentral:lncRNA from 1 species
AAGAGAGAAUUUUCUAAGUAUUUCACUGUUACAAGCAAAUUUUAUAUUUCUCUAGGCUAAUCAAUGUAACUGAUGUUAAUUGUACAUUUCGAAUUUCUGUUAUUUCUUCCAUUUAUAACCAUUAAGGCAAAAAAGAGGGGCGAAAUAUACCAGAGGGACAGUCAAACUCAUAGAUUGAAAAUAAACUGACAACGCCAUGGCUUAAAAAUAAAAAGACAAAUAGACAAAAAAUAGAACACAAGACACAACAUGGAAAAAUAAAGACUAAGCAAUACGACCCCCACCAAAAACUAGGGGAUAUCAGGUGCUCUGGAAGGGU